GGAGGAGAUUAAGAAUGUAAGAAAAGUUGUUUAUAACUGAUAGAUAUUUCAGGGUGCACCAUGGAAAGGGAGGACAGAAUGAGUUGUGAGAACGUGAUAGAGUAUGCUAGAACAUGGUCACCACAGCCUGAUCAUUUGAGGACGGCUUAAGUGCGAUGUGGCCAACAGAAAUGCAUGGAACUAAUGGGAAUUUUAAGUCAAUUUUAAUAGAAAGUUCUUUUGCUCAGAACUCGGGGCAGCUGUGACCUGCUGGGGUAUGUGGAUCGCUGUUUUCACCCAAUCCCUAGAAAUCUUAACACAACUGGAAUACAGUAAUUUCUAUUUACAAAAUAUCUCUGAAGAGGCAUGUCUACAGGGCCACUGUCAUAAGUCGGCUAUCCUUAUAAGUCAUGCAUUGAAAUAAAUGGAAACAUGUUGCCCAAAUAUCAACCAGAGUGCUGCAUGUUGAAUAUUUGCUGAAUUGAAUUGAAAUGGGGGAUUGAAAGAUGAAUAGACACAGCCCUUACUCUUGUGGAGUUCAUGGCCCAGUGGAGAAGUCAUACAUCCUAGCAGGU
rnacentral:lncRNA from 1 species